rnacentral:lncRNA from 1 species
AUGGUUAGGGUCGAAAUCUUUGACACGAAUAAUAAUAUGGGUGAGGUUCGGGUUGGCCACAUUUCAACCCGCCAACCCAUUAACCUAACACGAUUGACACCCCUAAUAAAACCUACCUGAUGUGUCCUCUCUCUGCCCACUGACAUAUGCCCAGUUGACUUUAAUAGGUUGACCAAACCUGCAAAAAACGUUGAUAAGAAGUGGUGACAUAACAUAGGAGAGGAGCAAAAAGCUCUGGUAAAAUUGUAAAAACACUUACAAAUGCCUCCCAUUUAGAGAUAAUAUAGCAAGUGCAGCGGAUCUACGAUCAAAGUAGUGAAUGAAUCCAUAAGACGACUGCACAGAUGAUAAAUAAAAAGAUAUAUAACUGUGUAAUAACUCAACAUAUGGCACGGUGCCAUCUUUGAAAUAGAUAAUGCGCAAAGAUGAUCAAAACUUUUCACUUUUCAAUCUAGUUUUAGACAUAUGGAUACCUUCUCUUUUCUUAUGAGUGUUCAACCUUCAACAGGACCAGUACUUGCAAAAACCUCUUGAAGAAGUGGUUCCAUCACUUGUAUAUGAAUGCUCCCCACGUACCUGCAAUUUCUCAAAAAUAAAAGAAUUAGAAGUUUUCACAAAAAUAAAAGAAUUAGAAGUUUCAAAAGAAAACAAUUUUAGCUAAAAAAUACUACCUAGUUUCCCAUACACAUAAAACAUAUAUUUGCAAAAAAAAAUCAUCGGUAAACCACUCACACACUGCGGCAUGUAUUUGGAUCAAACGCAGGAGGCAGAUUUCCGCUUGGGAUUGGCUCAAUCUGCAAAAAAAAAAAGUGAAAAAGGAAAAAAAAAAACAGCAAGCUAAGAGU